AAAUUCUUUAUGUACUUUGGG
ensembl:piRNA 21ur-4234 ncRNA